CACGAUCGUCGACGGACUUGUUUCUCUCGGCGGGGGUUUGGGUUUUCCUGAGCAGAUACAGGCGAUCGUUAUUUUAUGUUCGCUCGCCAGAUCGUCCUCCGCAGUAAGCGUUCGGUAUUCGUACGAGAGACGUGUUCAUUGGACAAGAUGCGUACACUACAAAGAGGUCUUUUGGCAUUUUGCCUGUUUGCAUCCGUCAUGUCUCAGCCAACUGGAAAUGACUUGGCCGUUCAGGCUGUCUCUCAGGGCGCCCACUUAUUCUCUACCAAUUUUGUUAAGACUGUUGCAAAAGAACAAGAACAAAAUUUAAUAUGCUCUCCCCUGAGUGCCCACAUCGCACUGAGCAUGGCAGCUGACGGCGCUGCCGGAACUACCGAGGCACAGUUCAAAGAUGUUCUCAAGCUUCCAGCCACGAAAGCUCAGACUCUGGAAGGUUAUCAGAAUCUCAUCGAUAAAUUGAAUAACGUUGAAAACGUUACUUUGAAGCUUGCUAACAAGCUAUUCCUCAACCAAGGCUUUCCAGUGAAACCUGAGUACAAGCAAGAUCUUCAGACAUACUAUCGUUCCGACAUUGAGUCGGUAAACUUUUCCGAACAGCAAAAAGCCGUGGAUACCAUCAAUACCUGGUGCAAAGACAACACCAACAAUCGCAUCGAUAACAUCAUUAGUGCCGAUGAGGUGAGUGGGGAUACUGCACUGGUGCUCGCAAACGCAGUAUACUUUAAGGGCAAAUGGGCUCACGAGUUCGAUCCUAAGGCUACUACAGACCGCCCGUUCCACAUUGAUGCCAAUACCGUAAAGAAUGUUCCAACUAUGUUCAGGAAAGGCAACUACAAAUACGUCGAACUGCCGGAAUACGAUGCUAAAUGCAUCGAGCUACCGUACGCGAACAAAGAGAUCAGCAUGGUGAUCAUCCUACCCAAUAAAAUUGAUGGUCUGAGUGCGCUGACUGACAAACUCGAGGAAGUUAGCACGGAAUGCAGCACCCGUCUCACUCAAAUUUACGAGCGUGAGGUACGAGUAUACCUGCCCAGAUUCAGGAUUGAGAACAAAUUGGACCUUGGAAAUACAUUGUCGCAAAAGAUGGGUCUUUCUGAACCGUUCAGCAACGGAGCCAACUUUAAUGGCAUUUCCGACGCACCUUUGAAGAUUGACAAAGUUGUGCAAAAAGCUUUCAUCGAAGUUAACGAGGAGGGUAGCGAGGCAGCAGCCGUCACUGAAGUGGAGAUCGAGAUGCGCUGUCUGAUCGAAAGGAUCACCGAAACUGAAUUGGAAAUUGAUCGUCCAUUCCUUUAUAGUAUUGUCAGGAUUCUUCAAGACCAGGAGAGCACAAACGGUGACACCGUGCCGCUGUUUACCGGAAUAGUCACCAUACCGGAAUAUUAACAAUCGCAAUGAAUAAAAUACGUGCUUGAUUUAUCACCUGUAUAUCUUAAAAAAACACAAACUUGGCCUUCAAAAUUAUUCAGGAAAAUCAAGACUUCAUGAUUGAUCGUCCAUUUGUCUAUAAAAUCAAAUUAAUCGGUUCCGAGGAAACGCCUAGUUUCUUAUCGUAUUUUGAUGGAUAUGUUCUCGAUCCGCAAUAACAUAGUAAUAAUAAAAACACCUUUUUAUAAGGAUUUCUAGUGAUUUUUAACAUAAUGCUAUUAUGUUAUAUCAUCAUUAUUAAAUAGUGCUGUUAAUGUGCCAAUAUUCUUGCGAGUGCUUUGUUCUGAUAAUUUUCUAAUGAUUUCACUAACAAAAUUCUCGAAAAUCUACUGUGAACUCGAAUGCAGCACAUUUGAGUGCAUAUAGUUUAGCGAUUAAUUUAAGCAAUUAAUUUAGUAAUUAAUUAAAUU
rnacentral:misc_RNA from 1 species